rnacentral:siRNA from 1 species
UAAUUAGUUGUAACUUGUGCUGGG